CAAAGAAAAACCACUUGGCUAGAACUGAAUAGAGAUAAUCCCACCAUCAGAAUCAAUGAAUGAGUCUCGUACAUCCGAUGCAUUUGGUAACACCUUUCAAAAUUGUAGGAUUGGAUUGAAGAAAUGGUAGAAUAUGUGAAGUUGUGGGGGUGAGGAGGAUGUUCUGGAGCAUCCAAAUAUGCAUGCCAUACACAUGCUGCAGAGGUUUUUAGGCAGAGAGACUUUCUGAAUUCUACGAAGCAUUCAAAGGUGUUCAUAUCGGUACCUUUGAACUUCAUUUCUCAAUUAUUUUCACUGAAGUGCUCAAGCUAUUAAUUUGACAUAAGUGCAAUUAUAACUAUGUAGGUUCCAACCGUGUCUAGAUGUUCAUCGAGUAGGUAGUUCAUCCACUAUGUAACCUUGCGCUACAUUCAUCAUGUGCUGUUUUUGAAGUCUAAAUUAUAUUUGUUCACUUCGCCAAGAAGUUUUUUGGAAGGCAUCAAAAUUUUAUUUAAGAAUAUAUGAUUUUCAAAGAGGCGUUCUAUGUGUAAGAGCUCACUUGGGAAGGAUUAAUUAGCAACACUUUGGGUAGAUGAUUUCCAAUUCUCUUUUAAAGUGUAUAAAAUAGUGAGCUUUUCGUUUCUUUAUGAUCUUAUUGAUGGGUCCUAAUUGAGACAAAAAAAUUACUUAAAAUUUGAUGCCUUUUGAUAGAGGGUCCUCUUCUCAUACUAAUAAUUGGUUUAUCAAUACAAAAUACUAAUGAAAAUUUUC